rnacentral:lncRNA from 1 species
AGUUCCAGACAUAUCAUUACUUUUAAAUAUGAGAUGACAAACUAAAGGUUUUAAAAAGUCCUGAAUAACUGGUAAGCAUUUGAUUUAUUAGGUAAGCUCUAAAUUUUUUAUUUAUGGUAUUUGUGCAAAUGAAAUUACGGUCGAUAUGUUAGAAAUAUGCUUAUAUGAAAACUGUUGCUAUGGUCUUGAUAUUGAAUGAAAAGGCUUGGUUACUGAUCUUUUCGACUCAACAUUUCGAGUUAAAUCUUGCGGCAACUGAUUCUCAUGUAACACUAAAAACUCUAUUUAGCACUAUUUUGAUCUGUCAAUAUUUAAUGACGCCAUAAUACGUGUGAUGUCACAAUGUUUCCUUUAAUACCUCAUGUGGAUUUCUCACUGAUAAAGAGUUUUCACUGAAAAAUACAAUGUAAAAAGCCUUUUUUUCUCAAAUAGAAUUAUGUGACUGGACAAGUUUUGAAAAUUUGCACUUCAUUGCACUCUAAUUACAUGAUAAGAAUGACUUUCCCAGUAGUUUUGAGGGGUUUCCACAGUAUUUUAUACCAGAUGUCCACUAGUAAGAAUAGUUAUUUUGGUGUGUUUUUUAUGAAAUCUACAUUUUUGCAUAAUUUCUCUGUCAAAAUGCACUUUAAGACACAAGAAAAUGUUAUGAAUGCUUUAAAUAGGGUCUGUGUAUUGUAAUUUAAGGUUAUCAUCAGAAGUUUUGUCCUUGUUUUGACUUGUAAAGGUAUAUUGGAAGAAAUAUUUAUACAUACACGUUGUAUUAAAAAUAAAUGAAUAUAGCGAUAAAAGUGUCAUUGCCAUAUAGUGCUGAAACGACUUUAUUUUUUUUCAGAAAUGAACAAAAAUACACAGAUUUAUUCAGAAUGUCAUACCGAUGAAGAUCACCUAAAAAUAUUUGGAAAAAUCAGAACUAUGGAUUUCAAUAUGGGACAAUACCGCUAAUGCGCCUUGAAAUGAGGAACAC